rnacentral:rRNA from 1 species
GACGAACCGAGCGAACGUUGUUCGGAAUCACUGGGCUUAAAGGGCGCGUAGGCGGGUGCUCAAGUCCGUGGGGAAAUCCUCCGGCUCAACCGGAGAACUGCCUCGGAUACUGGGCGUCUCGAGUGUGGUAGGGGUAUGCGGAACUAUCGGUGGAGCGGUGAAAUGCGUUGAUAUCGAUAGGAACUCCGGUGGCGAAGGCGGCAUACUGGACCACUACUGACGCUGAUGCGCGAAAGCCAGGGGAGCAAACGGG